rnacentral:rRNA from 1 species
AGUGAACGCUGGCGGUAGGCCUAACACAUGCAAGUUGAACGGCAGCACAGUAAGAGCUUGCUCUUACGGGUGGCGAGUGGCGGACGGGUGAGGAAUACAUCGGAAUCUACUUUUUCGUGGGGGAUAACGUAGGGAAACUUACGCUAAUACCGCAUACGACCUACGGGUGAAAGCAGGGGAUCUUCGGACCUUGCGCGAUUGAAUGAGCCGAUGUCGGAUUAGCUAGUUGGCGGGGUAAAGGCCCACCAAGGCGACGAUCCGUAGCUGGUCUGAGAGGAUGAUCAGCCACACUGGAACUGAGACACGGUCCAGACUCCUACGGGAGGCGGCAGUGGGGAAUAUUGGACAAUGGGCGCAAGCCUGAUCCAGCCAUACCGCGUGGGUGAAGAAGGCCUUCGGGUUGUAAAGCCCUUUUGUUGGGAAAGAAAAGCAGCAGGUUAAUACCCCGCUGUUCUGACGGUACCCAAAGAAUAAGCACCGGCUAACUUCGUG